UACGGGGGGGGGCAAGCGUUGUUCGGAAUUACUGGGCGUAAAGGGCUUGUAGGUGGCCAACUAAGUCAGACGUGAAAUCCCUCGGCUUAACCGGGGAACUGCGUCUGAUACUGGAUGGCUGGAGUGUGGGAGAGGGAUGCGGAAUUCCAGGUGUAGCGGUGAAAUGCGUAGAUAUCUGGAGGAACACCGGUGGCGAAGGCGGCAUCCUGGACCAUUACUGACACUGAAAAGCGAAAGCCAGGGGAGCAAACGGG
rnacentral:rRNA from 1 species